rnacentral:rRNA from 1 species
UACGUAGGGUGCAAGCAUUAAUCUGUAGUAUUGGGCGUAUAGGGCGCGUAGGCUGAAAAACAAGUCGAAUGUGAAAUCCCGGAGCUCAACUCCGGAACAGCAUCCGAAACUGUAUUUCUAGAGGGUAGGCGGAGAAAACGGAAUUCCACAAGUAGCGGUGAAAUGCGUAGAUAUGUGGAAGAACACCCGUGGCGAAGGCGGUUUUCUAGCUUACUCCUGACGCUGAGGCGCGAAAGCAAGGGGAUCAAACAGG